rnacentral:rRNA from 1 species
AAGACUGACCCAGCCAUGCCGCGUGCAGGAAGAAGGCCCUAUGGGUUGUAAACUGCUUUAGCCAGGGGCUAAACCUACCGAUGCGUUGGUAGCUGAAGGUACCUGGAGAAUAAGCAUCGGCUAACUCCGUGCCAGCAGCCGCGGUAAUACGGAGGAUGCGAGCGUUAUCCGGAUUUACUGGGUUUAAAGGGUGCGCAGGCGGUUGUUUAAGUCAGGGGUGAAAGCCCUAUGCUCAACAUAGGGAUUGCCUUUGAUACUGAACGGCUAGAGUGAAGAUGGAGUGGGUGGAAUGUGUUGUGUAGCGGUGAAAUGCAUAGAUAUAACACAGAACACCGAUCGCGAAGGCAGCUCACUAAUUUUCAACUGACGCUCAUGCACGAAAGCGUGGGGAUCAAACAGGAUUAGAUACCCUGGUAGUCCACGCUGUAAACGAUGAUCACUAGCUGUUGGUACGCUGAAGUAUCAGUGGCUAAGCGCAAAGUGAUAAGUGAUCCACCUGGGGAGUACGACCGCAAGGUUGAAACUCAAAGGAAUUG